rnacentral:rRNA from 1 species
CCCUUAGAUGUCCUGGGCCGCACGCGCGCUACACUGAUGCAUUCAACGAGUAUUUCCUUGGCCGAGAGGCCUGGGCAAUCUUUUAAACCUGCAUCGUGAUAGGGAUAGAUUAUUGCAAUUAUUAAUCUUGAACGAGGAAUUCCUAGUAAACGCAAAUCAUCAAUUUGCAUUGAUUACGUCCCUGCCCUUUGUACACACCGCCCGUCGCACCUACCGAUUGAAUGGUCCGGUGAAAUCUCGGGAUUGUGGCCAGUUCACUUUAUUGGGAGUUGGCUGCGAGAACUUGCUUAAACCUUACCAUUUAGAGGAAGGUGAAGUCGUAACA